ACUGUUCAUCUGUCGGAUAGAUCAAGCUGUGCAAUCAAAGACAUCGAGAUGGUUAGCUGAAAGAUACACGAUGGUACAUUGAGAAGAUUGGAUGAGGUCCGAUACAUAUCUAAUUUCAGACAGAAUCUUAUCUCACUAAGCAAACUGAAUUCAAAUGGCUAUAGGUGGAUAGCUGGUGUUGGAAUCAUGAAGGUUAUGCGUAGUGAUAGGAUUAUUUUGGAGGGA
rnacentral:lncRNA from 1 species